rnacentral:rRNA from 1 species
GACGGAGGGUGCAAGCAUUGUUCGGAAUUACUGGGCGUAAAGGGCGCGUAGGCGGUCCGCUAAGUUCGGUGUGAAAGCCCCUGGCUCAACUGGGGAACGGCGCUGGAAACUGGUGGACUCGAGUACCGGAGAGGAGAGUGGAAUUCCUGGUGUAGCGGUGAAAUGCGUAGAUAUCAGGAGGAACACCGGUGGCGAAGGCGGCUCUCUGGACGGAUACUGACGCUGAGGCGCGAAAGCGUGGGGAUCAAACAGG